rnacentral:rRNA from 1 species
AACGAACGCUGGCGGCAUGCCUAACACAUGCAAGUCGAACGAGACCUUCGGGUCUAGUGGCGCACGGGUGCGUAACGCGUGGGAAUCUGCCCUUGGGUUCGGAAUAACAGUUGGAAACGACUGCUAAUACCGAAUGAUGACUUCGGUCCAAAGAUUUAUCGCCCAGGGAUGAGCCCGCGUCGGAUUAGCUAGUUGGUGAGGUAAAGGCUCACCAAGGCGACGAUCCGUAGCUGGUCUGAGAGGAUGAUCAGCCACACUGGGACUGAGACACGGCCCAGACUCCUACGGGAGGCAGCAGUGGGGAAUAUUGGACAAUGGGCGAAAGCCUGAUCCAGCAAUGCCGCGUGAGUGAUGAAGGCCUUAGGGUUGUAAAGCUCUUUUACCCGGGAUGAUAAUGACAGUACCGGGAGAAUAAGCCCCGGCUAACUCCGUGCCAGCAGCCGCAGUAAGAC